rnacentral:rRNA from 1 species
GACGAACGCUGGCGGCGUGCUUAACACAUGCAAGUCGAACGGAAAGGCCCUGCUUGCAGGGUACUCGAGUGGCGAACGGGUGAGUAACACGUGGGUGUUCUGCCCUGCACUUCGGGAUAAGCCUGGGGAACUGGGUCUAAUACCGGAUAGGAGCCAUUUUGAGUGUGAUGGUUGGAAAGUUUUUUCGGUGUAGGGUGAGCUCGCGGCCUAUUAGCUUGUUGGUGGGGUAAUGGCCUACCAAGGCGGCGACGGGUGGCCGGCCUGGGAGGGUGGACGGCCGCAUUGGGACUGAGGUUCGGCCCAGACCCCUACGGGGGGCAGCAGGGGGGAAUAUUGCACCAUGGGGGCGAGCCUGGUGCAGCGACGCCGCGUGGGGGAUGAAGGCCUUCGGGUUGUAAACUCCUUUCGCUAGGGACGAAGCUUUUUGUGACGGUACCUAGAGAAGAAGCACCGGCUAACUACGUG